rnacentral:rRNA from 1 species
UGGGGAAUAUUGCACAAUGGAGGGAACUCUGAUGCAGCAACGCCGCGUGCGGGAUGACGGCCUUCGGGUUGUAACCCGCUUUCAGCCAUGACGAAGCUUUUGUGACGGUAGUGGUAGAAGAAGCACCGGCUAACUACGUGCCAGCAGCCGCGGUGAUACGUAGGGUGCGAGCGUUGUCCGGAAUUAUUGGGCGUAAAGAGCUUGUAGGCGGUUUGUCGCGUCGAUAGUGUAAACACGCAGCUUAACUGUGUGCCUGCUGUCGAUACGGGCUGACUAGAGGAGGGUAGGGGAGAAUGGAAUUCCCGGUGGAGCGGUGGAAUGCGCAGAUAUCGGGAGGAACACCAGUGGCGAAGGCGGUUCUCUGGACCUUUCCUGACGCUGAGAAGCGAAAGCGUGGGUAGCAAACAGG